AUGUGGCACCUAGUGAUCCAGCGAUGCAACUGCUGGAAACGGUCUCCGCCAGAAUCACACGCCUGUCCCGCUGCCGGUCCGCCGGCCGCUCCCCCCACGCAGACCCCCGGCGAAUCAACCGACGCUCCCACGAAACAAGCCGCAGGAACCCGAACAGGUGGCCCGCAUCCAGCGGCACCCAUGGAGCAGAGAUGGCGAUCAAGGUGCACUGAAGAGUAAUGCAAUGACUCAAAAUGUGAACCGCAAAGAAGUGGAAAUGGCGCUGGGGAUGUGGUUUACCGGCGCACGUGACCGUGGAGGGGAGAGGGCUGCAAGAGCCCAAAGAGAAAAAGGAGCGUCCACCACACAGAUGCCAUGAGUGUAUUUUGUAUUAAUGUAUUUUUUGGAGAGAUGUUUUUUUUUUCAGAGAUUUUUUUAAAAUAUAUUUUUGAUUUGUUUACCGGUAUGUUGUGACAUUUAAAUUGUUUUUUAAAGAUAAUUUUUGUUGUUCAAUUUCACAAUAUAUUUCUUGCAGUUCAAAGCGUCUAGUGUCUUGUAUUUAUCUUGGACUUAUAUUCAUUCUUCGUUUUCUUUCUUAUAUUGUUUCCUUAAACCACUUGGCAUGGUUGGGCUUAGAUAGGCCUUGCAUGAAUUUCCCAGUUAGGACCCACAUAAGAUCCUUACAGACCCCACUUUAAGUCCAUAGGGGCAUUCACGGUUGAAUCCUGGUGCAAGCCCACUUUAAACCCCUUUAGGCAGGUGGGGCCCAAAUGGGUCUGACAUGAAUUACCCAGUUAAGACCCACAUAAGACCCUUACAAGUCCCACUUAAAACCCAUCUUGGCAUCCACGGCUGGCCCCCGUGUGGAUCCCGGGUGCAAGCCCAUUUUAAAUGCCCUUUAAGCAGGUGGGGCCCAAAUGGGUCUGUCAUGAAUUGCCUGGUUAAGAUCCCACAUAACACCCUUAUAGAUCCCUUUUAAAGCCCAUCUGGGCAUCCACGGCUGGAUCCUGGGUGCAAACCCACUUUAGACCCAUUUGGGCAGGUGGGGCCCAAAUGGGUCUGACAUGAAUUGCCCAAUUAAGACCCAUGCAGUACCCUUACAGGUCCCACUUUUAGUACGUCUGGGCUUCCACGGCUUGCCCCAAUGUGGAUCCCGGGUGCAAGCCCAUAAUGGGGCCCACAUUUGCCGCCCAUGAAGCCCUCAUCUGGGCCCCACAUGUCAUUGCUGGCUGGGCUGCGUAUAGGGAGCGGCGGUACUGGCGGUUUAUAUGUAUAUUUAUCCAUAAACGGGUAAAUAUUAAUUCUGCUGUUAAAAACAAAUAAAGAAACUGUGUAUGAGAGAAUUAUUUAUUUA
ensembl:lncRNA